rnacentral:rRNA from 1 species
AGCCUACUCUAGCCCUACCACAUCCCAUAAACAACUAUGACAAAAAAAUUCACCUCACCUACCUAACUAAAACAUUUUUUAAACUUAGUAUAGGCGAUAGAAAAGACCCAUUUGGCGCGAUAGAGACUCCGUACCGUAAGGGAAAGAUGAAAUAGCAGUGAAAAGCUAAGCAACAAACAGCAAAGAUAAACCCUUGUACCUUUUGCAUCAUGAUUUAGCAAGAACAACCGAGCAAAAUGAAUUUAAGCUUGCCCCCCCGAAACCCAAGCGAGCUACUUGCAAGCAGCUACCCAUGAGCGAACCCGUCUCUGUUGCAAAAGAGUGGGAUGACUUGCCAGUAGAGGUGAAAAGCCAAUCGAGCUGGGUGAUAGCUGGUUGCCUGUGAAAUGAAUCUUAGUUCUCUCUUGAUCCCCUCCUCCUGACAAUCUAGCUUUAAUCCUUAUGUAGCAGGUCAAGAGUAAUUUAAAGGAGGUACAGCUCCUUUAAAAAAGGAUACAACCUCCAUUAGUGGAUAACCACCUAGACUCCUUCUAUAAACUGUAGGCCUUCAAGCAGCCACCAAUAAAGAGUGCGUCAAAGCUCUACCUAAAAAAAUCCAAUAACAAUACGACUCCCUUACCCACUAACAGGUUAACCUACGCCAGUAGAAGCAUCAAUGCUAAAAUGAGUAACCAGGGACCUUCCUCUCAAGCGCAAACUUACACUAUCCCGUUAUUAACAGACAGAAGCCAAUACCUCAAUUACAACAAGACUAAGAUAUUAACCUACUCUGUUACCCCGACUAAGGAGCGCCUACUAGAAAGAUUAAAAUCUGUAAAAGGAACUAGGCAAACCCAAGGCCCGACUGUUUACCAAAAACAUAGCCUUCAGCCCACCGAGUAUUGAAGGUGAUGCCUGCCCAGUGACAUAAUGUUUAACGGCCGCGGUAUCCUAACCGUGCGAAGGUAGCGCAAUCAAUUGUCUCAUAAAUCGAGACUUGUAUGAAUGGCUAAACGAGGUCUUAACUGUCUCUUACAGAUAAUCAGUGAAAUUGAUCUUCCCGUGCAAAAGCGAGAAUUGUAACAUAAGACGAGAAGACCCUGUGGAACUUAAAAAUCAGCGGCCACUAUAUACAAAUUUAAGCCUAUUAGGCUCACUACCAUUAGACAUUGGUUCGCAUUUUUCGGUUGGGGCGACCUUGGAGAAAAACAAAUCCUCCAAAAAUAAGACCACGCUUCUUAACCAAGAGCAACCCCUCGACGUACUAACAGUAACCAGACCCAAUACAAUUGAUCAAUGAACCAAGCUACCCCAGGGAUAACAGCGCAAUCUCCUCUAAGAGCCCUCAUCGACGAGGAGGUUUACGACCUCGAUGUUGGAUCAGGACACCCUAAUGGUGCAGCCGCUAUUAAGGGUUCGUUUGUUCAACGAUUAAUAGUCCUACGUGAUCUGAGUUCAGACCGGAGCAAUCCAGGUCGGUUUCUAUCUAUGACAGACUUUCCCCAGUACGAAAGGACCGAGAAAGUAGGGCCAAUACUACAAGCACGCCCUCUCCCUAAGUAAUGUACUCAACUAAAUUACCAAAGGACACCCCAAACACAGUACUAUUCCUAGAAAAGGACCA